GAUGAACGCUGGCGGCGUGCCUAAUACAUGCAAGUCGAGCGAACGGACGAGAAGCUUGCUUCUCUGAUGUUAGCGGCGGACGGGUGAGUAACACGUGGAUAACCUACCUAUAAGACUGGGAUAACUUCGGGAAACCGUAGCUAAUACCGGAUAAUAUUUUGAACCGCAUGGUUCAAAAGUGAAAGACGGUCUUGCUGUCACUUAUAGAUGGAUCCGCGCUGCAUUAGCUAGUUGGUAAGGUAACGGCUUACCAAGGCAACGAUGCAUAGCCGACCUGAGAGGGAGAUCGGCCACACGGGAACUGAGACACGGUCCAGACUCCUACGGGAGGCAGCAGUAGGGAAUCUUCCGCAAUGGGCGAAAGCCUGACGGAGCAACGCCGCGUGAGUGAUGAAGGUCUUCGGAUCGUAAAACUCUGUUAUUAGGGAAGAACAUAUGUGUAAGUAACUGUGCACAUCUUGACGGUACCUAAUCAGAAAGCCACGGCUAACUACGUG
rnacentral:rRNA from 1 species